rnacentral:rRNA from 1 species
UCCGGUGGUAAUGGCGGAGGGGCAACACCUGUUCUCAUCCCGAACACAGAAGUUAAGCCCUCCAGCGCUGAUGGUACUGCACUGGUAACGGUGUGGGAGAGUAAGUCACUGCCGGAA